rnacentral:rRNA from 1 species
CAAUAGCGUAUAUUAAAGUUGUUGCAGUUAAAAAGCUCGUAGUUGGAUUUCGGGACGGGCCAGUUGGUCCGCCGCAAGGUGUGUUACUGACUGGUCUGUUCUUCUUCGCAAAGACUGCGUGUGCUCUUCGUUGAGUGUGCGUAGGAUUUACGACGUUUACUUUGAAAAAAUUAGAGUGUUCAAAGCAGGCUAUCGCUUGAACACAUGAGCAUGGAAUAAUGGAAUAGGACUUUGGUCCUAUUUUGUUGGUUUCUAGGACCGAAGUAAUGAUUAAGAGGGACAAUUGGGGGCAUCCGUAUUUCGUUGUCAGAGGUGAAAUUCUUGGAUUUACGAAAGACGAACAACUGCGAAAGCACUUGCCAAGAGUGUUUUCAUUAA